rnacentral:misc_RNA from 1 species
AACGCACGAGACCUGCGGACCUGCGGAAGGAUCGUUAUUGAAUAAACUUGGUUAGAUUGUAUGCUGGCUUUUUGAGAAGCAUGUGCACGUCUAAUCCAUUUUUAAUCCCCUGUGCAUCUUGUGUAGGCCUGUAUAACAUUUGAGCUGAUUUUAUGGCUCAGUUUUAGAAUCUGCUGUGAUCUUAACAGAGAUAAUUCAGCUUUUUCUUGUAUUUCAGGUCUAUGUUAUCUAUAACACUCC